rnacentral:ncRNA from 1 species
AUCAGGGGCCCUGGCAAGGGCCUUCGAGGCGACGUUCGCACCUACCCCGCGAACCGCUUCGUGUCUGUACCGCCCACAAGGUGUGUUUGACGAGGUUGUCGACUGGAACGAAGUUGUCCCGAGGGACGGAAGCGUAAUAGGUAACCCGGCACCACACUGAUGUUCGUACCAAGGCCCACGACGCCCGAAUGCGCCCGCAGUUCGCCUUUACCUGCUC